UGAGUGAAGCGGACACCCGUCGUGACAGG
rnacentral:piRNA from 1 species